UCUCUACUAUAUCUCCGUCCAUGGUUUGUCUCCUCUAAUCCUGUACUUGCCAUGGCCUCAUUGCGCCGCAAGAUCAGAUCGAUGGUGGGUGUGUCUGGCACAUGCUCAUCCGUUUCAACUGCUAAUCAAUCGGCUUCUCAUCUUGAUCUACGUAAAAAGCUCAGAUUCAUCUUUUCCAACUACUAAUCAAUUGUUGUAUCAUCUUAUAAAUUGCGGCAGGUUCCAAGAAUUGGAGCCAAUAGCCACGGUGUGCAGCGGCCACGACGAAAGAUAAAAGCCUUCGCAGGCGUGGAUUCCUGAUAACAAACAAAAGCAGAUCUAGUUGGAUGCGGUGACUGGCAACGACGAGAGCGAACUGGCCAGGCGGCCAGGUCACCUAUGCAUUUCGGAGGUGCCAUACUCGGAGUUUAUUCCUCUGCCGACAGGAGCACAUGCGUCACUCAGCCCCGAACUAUACCUACUACCGUAUCAUUCCGGCGAAUUGCCUUCAUGAGAUCCAGAAAAGUUCGAUGCUACGGCACUUGGUCGCGCUAGAUCUUGCAACUGUGAUCAUAUUUUUUUGCGAUUGUUAAUUGUAACCUGUGAAAUCUCUGUACGUUGGAUUUAUUUGGCUGUUAUCAAUGGUUUGUAUUUC